CUGUCAUAUAUAGUGUUGACAAACAUUGAUACAGAUUUCCUGUGAAGUGCAGAAGCACCGUCGUAGAAGCAGAGAUGCAGAGGCAGCACUGGUGACUCACACAUGGAGAGCUGGAGUUCUUGGUCUAGUGGGAUAAACUGACCUGGACAUCAUUUCGGUGCAGUGGAUUCUGGAACCUCAUUUCUGCACUGGGACCUGAGCGUUAAUGUCCCCUAUAUGACUGGACUGAAGUGUUUGGGGUCUAUCCUUUAACCAGAUUUCUCGUUCUCUCAUCCAGAUGCACUGGAUAAACCAUGAGGCUGCUCAUUUAAUAAAUCUACUGUUUCACAGUGUGGUCCUUUCAAGGUA